rnacentral:rRNA from 1 species
GUGACCUACGGGGGGCAGCAGUUAGGAAUAUUCGUCAAUGGGGGAAACCCUGAACGAGCAAUGCCGCGUGAGUGAUGAAGGCCCUAUGGGUUGUAAAACUCUGUUGUUGAGAAAGAAUUGUAAGAUUAGGAAAUGAGUCUUACUUGACGGUACUCUUCAAGAAAGCCACGGCUAACUACGUGCCAGCAGCCGCGGUAAUACGUAGGUGGCGAGCGUUAUCCGGAUUUAUUGGGUUUAAAGGGAGCGUAGAUGGGUUGUUAAGUCAGUUGUGAAAGUUUGCGGCUCAACCGUAAAAUUGCAAUUGA